rnacentral:lncRNA from 1 species
UCAACCCUUGCCAACCCUGAAAAACAAUGGCAUGAUAAAUGAUUAUAUGAAUAAUAUCCAAUGACUCGCAGUACUCGAAAACACAACAUUAAUUAAAAAUACGUACGAUAUGAUGGGGUUAACGGAGGCCUUGUUUGCAUUUACGUUUGAGGACUUGGAUCCGCAGGUGCCACCGAGGCAGGGCACUGGAUAAGGCGUAUAGGGCACUGAAAGAUAAUCGAGACUUUAGCAGCCGAGGGUUUUGUGACUGUCUUCCAGUGAAACUAAUAUACGCAUCAACAAGGAUGAAUAAGAAGAAAGUAACGAUAACCAUUUACGCACCAGCUAAAGUUUGGGUAGCAAAGGCCAUUAUGAAGACGACCAGCAUCACCAACACCAAUUCUGUAGGAAAAUAGGAAUUGUUGCAUAGAUAUACGAUGUCGGUUUAAAUACAGAUAUGAAUACAAAAA